GGCUCAGAUUGAACGCUGGCGGCAUGCUUUACACAUGCAAGUCGAACGGUAACAGGUUAAGCUGACGAGUGGCGAACGGGUGAGUAAUGCAUCGGAACGUGCCCAGGUCGUGGGGGAUAACGCAGCGAAAGCUGUGCUAAUACCGCAUACGAUCUAUGGAUGAAAGCGGGGGACCGUAAGGCCUCGCGCGAUUGGAGCGGCCGAUGUCAGAUUAGCUAGUUGGUGGGGUAAAGGCCCACCAAGGCGACGAUCUGUAGCUGGUCUGAGAGGACGACCAGCCACACUGGAACUGAGACACGGUCCAGACUCCUACGGGAGGCAGCAGUGGGGAAUUUUGGACAAUGGGCGCAAGCCUGAUCCAGCAAUGCCGCGUGCAGGAAGAAGGCCUUCGGGUUGUAAACUGCUUUUGUACGGAACGAAAAGGCUCUGGCUAAUACCCGAGGCUCAUGACGGUACCGUAAGAAUAAGCACCGGCUAACUACGUG
rnacentral:rRNA from 1 species